UACGAAGGGGGCUAGCGUUGCUCGGAAUCACUGGGCGUAAAGCGCACGUAGGCGGAAUCUUUUAAGUCAGGGGGUGAAAUCCUGGAGCUCAACUCCAGAACUGCCUUUGAUACUGGGGAUCUCGAGUCCGGGAGAGGUGAGUGGAACUGCGAGUGUAGAGGUGAAAUUCGUAGAUAUUCGCAAGACACCAGUGGCGAAGGCGGCUCACUGGCCCGGUACUGACGCUGAGGUGCGAAAGCGUGGG
rnacentral:rRNA from 1 species